GUUGUCUUGAGUGUGAGCGAGUGGAACUGGUGGUGGACGCUGAGCACCGACAAACUAUCCAGUGAGGGCACCUAACUCCACAACUUCUGGUUCCCGACCAUAAGAACAUCAACUGACCAGAACACUACAUCAUUUUGAAUAACUGAAGAAUCCCCACAAUAACAUCACUUCCAGUUCCAACCCACAAGAUCCCACCUCUUCAUGAUGUCACUUCCAGUUCCAACCCUCAAGACCCCACCUCUUCAUGCCACCACUUCUGGUUCCAGAAUGCCUUUCACCCAUAACAUCACUUCCUGCAACCGUCUAUAUAUUUACCGCCUCUCUUUUUGCCAGUUCCAUUUUGAACUGUCUGUGAAGACGUCAUUUCCUUUGCUUGUGCUACAGUAUAUGGGGGAUCCCCCCCCAAAGCUU